AACGAACAGGGCAAUCGAUGUUCGGAAUAACUGGGCUUAAAGGGUGCGUAGGUGGCCAAGUAAGUCAAGUGUGAAAUUCCACGGCUCAACAGUGGGAGAGCGCCUGAAACUGGAUGGCUUGAGGGCAGGUCAGGAAGAUGGAAUUGCCAGUGGAGGGGUGAAAUCCGUUGAUAUCGGAAAGAACGCCGGUGGGGAAGGCGGUCUGCUGGACUGAUAAUGACGCUGAGGCACGAAAGCCAGGGGAGCGAACGGG
rnacentral:rRNA from 1 species